rnacentral:rRNA from 1 species
UGGGGAAUUUUGGACAAUGGGGGCAACCCUGAUCCAGCGACGCCGCGUGGAGGAUGAAGGUCUUCGGAUUGUAAACUCCUUUUCUAGGGGAAGAAUGGGUCGUUGAAGAGACGAUCGUGACGGUACCCUGGGAAUAAGCCACGGCUAACUACGUGCCAGCAGCCGCGGUAAUACGUAGGUGGCAAGCGUUACUCGGAAUUACUGGGCGUAAAGCGCGCGUAGGCGGUUGACUAAGUUUGCUGUGAAAGCCCCGGGCUUAACCUGGGAACUGCAGUGAAUACUGGUGAGCUAGAGUAUGGUAGAGGGUAGUGGAAUUUCCGGUGUAGCAGUGAAAUGCGUAGAGAUCGGAAGGAACACCAGUGGCGAAGGCGGCUAUCUGGACCAAUACUGACGCUGAGGUGCGAAAGCGUGGGGAGCAAACAGG